rnacentral:rRNA from 1 species
GAUGAACGCUGGCGGCGUGCCUAAUACAUGCAAGUCGAGCGAACGGACGAGAAGCUUGCUUUUCUGAUGUUAGCGGCGGACGGGUGAGUAACACGUGGAUAACCUACCUAUCAGACUGGGAACACUUCGGGAAUCCGGAGCUAAUACCGGAUAAUAUUUUGAACCGCAUGGUUCAAUAGUGAAAGUCGGUCUUGCUGUCUCUUCUAGAUGGAUCCGCGCUGCAUUAGCUAGUUGGUAAGGUAACGGCUUACCAAGGCAACUAGGCAUAGCCGACCUGAGGGGGUGAUCGGCGACACGGGAGCGUGGACACGGUCCAUACUCCUACGGGACGCAGCAGUAGGGAAUCGGCCGCAGCAGGCGAAAGUCUGACAGAGCAACGCGGCGUGAGUUAUGAAGGUCCUCGGAGCGUAAAACUCUGUUAUUAGUGAAGAACAUAUGUGUAAGGAACUGUGCACAUCGUGACGGUACCGAAUCAGAAAGCCACGGCUAACUACGUG